GCGGGGCGGAGCGCGGAGCCCGCUCGGGGCUGCGGAUGCUCCGUCCGGCACCGCCGGUGGCAGCGGGGCGGGCGCCAGCCCGGCUCUGGGCGUCUGUAACGGGCAGCGCGACCGCGACGGAGCCGCCGGUACCGGCUCUUCAACGGCGGUACCGGCACCGGUACCGGCAGCGCUCCGGCCCUGCUAUCCCAGCACCGGCAUCAGUGCUUGGAUCCCGGCACCAGGACCGACCGGCCUCACUGACACCGGCACCGCCACUGACACCGGUACCGGCUCUUCUUCCCCGGCACAAGGUCCGGUGUCCCCGCCACCGGGACUACACCCCGUUAUCCUCCCCCGGCACUGGGACCACUCCGAUUCCCCGGCAUUGCUCGUCCUUCUCCUGCACCGGCACCGACCGGCCCUUCCCGGCUCCCCGGGCCCCCGCCUGCCGCAGCUUUGAAAACCCACGAGUGGUGGGAACGGAGAGCUGGGCACGGUGGAGUGAGCACAAGGAGCACCGAGGCCAGCACAGGGAGACACUGUCCCCUGACCUGGCAGGGACACGGAGCAGGGACCAGCCAGGACCCUCCAGGGACCAGCCCAGGGGCGUUCUGUGAAGGCAGAGAUUGCUGACUGGGCACUGGGGCCGCAGCUUGGGCCGGCUCCAGUUUGGAUCCAUGCAGUGCUCGAAGCUGGGGCCAAACCAUGAACGUUCAGAGGAGUCAGGGAGUCCUGCCCGCUGGCCUGGCAGCCCUGGGCUGGCGCUGGAGCAGGGGAAUAUCCUGGUGUGGAAAAUCCCCUUGUUUGGCUGCAGCCCUGGCUGGCAGCUCUGGGCUCUCUCAGCCCCAUGGAUGAUUGCCUGGCUGGGUUUAUCCUCCUCGGACAAGCGGGUUCUCACAUGCAGAUAUUGAGGGAACAGCCUGGCAGGGCCCAGCCCGGUGUGAGGGUCCGGGGGAUGCAGGAGCAGAGCAGGGAUGGAUGUUCUGUGCCCCGCGGUGACACGGAG
rnacentral:lncRNA from 1 species